rnacentral:rRNA from 1 species
GAUGAACGCUGGCGGCGUGCCUAAUACAUGCAAGUCGAGCGAACGGACGAGAAGCUUGCUUCUCUGAUGUUAGCGGCGGACGGGUGAGUAACACGUGGAUAACCUACCUAUAAGACUGGGAUAACUUCGGGAAACCGGAGCUAAUACCGGAUGAUAUUUUGAACCGCAUGGUUCAAAAGUGAAAGACGGUCUUGCUGUCACUUAUAGAUGGAUCCGCGCUGCAUUAGCUAGUUGGUAAGGUAACGGCUUACCAAGGCAACGAUGCAUAGCCGACCUGAGAGGGGUGACCGGCAACCCUGGACCUGGGCACGGGCCCAGAUCCCACGGGAGGCCAGCAGUAGGGAAUCUUCCGCAAUGGGCGAAAGCCUGACGGAGCAACGCCGCGUGAGUGAUGAAGGUCUUCGGUUCGUAAAACCCUUUUAUUAGGGAAGAACAAAUGGGUAAGUAACUGUGCAAAUCUUACCGUUACCUAAUAAGAAAGCAACGCCUACCUCCGU